AUUGGACUUCCCAAGCCACCUAACCGCUCCUUACGCCCGAAUCCGCUAGAUGCCCGACCCGCCAGAGCCGCCUAGAACCCGAUCGCCUCCUUAAUACGCGCCUUGUCGGAUCGCCACCUCCUCUGUCCCUCUUCUAAACUUCGUCUCCUCAUACCUGCGCCUUCCAUACUGCCACCGACUCCCUCGCCCUCCUCAUCGACGGCCGAUGCUUCCCCACCUGAGGCUUGAGACAAAGAAGAAAGCUAAGCUCCUCUCUCCUUCUUUUUAUUACACUAAUUCCUUCUACUGCUGCUACUAAUCCCCUUUCUCCUACUUAACAGGUGUAACAAUCCCCCCUACUAAGACGAUCCUUGCCCUCAAGGAUCAAAAGAGGGAUACUGACUUUUGAGGAACCUCUGAUCUUCCCAUGUUGCAAGCUCCUUGGGAAGGUUUGCCCAUUUUACCAAGACUUCGGUCGUGGCCCUGUUUCCGUGCUCCACUGUUCUCUUCUCCAGUACUUCCUCUGGUUCUGCUAUUAAUUCCUCCUCUUCUCCGAUGGAUGGUUCCGUCGGGGACGCCUGAACUGCAAGUGGGGGGCUUUUCUUUAAUAGAGAAACGUGGAACACUGGGUGAACCCUUGAUCCUUCUGGUAACUGUAGCCUAUACGCAACUGGUCCGAUACGCUCCAGUAUCUUGAAAGGACCAAAGAAUCGUGCCGAAAGUUUAAUAUUUUUCCUUAUCGCCACCGUUGUCUGUCGAUAGGGUUGUAAUUUAAGAUAGACCCAAUCUCCCACCGCGUACUCUCUUUCCUUCCUAUGUUUGUCUUCUUGUUGCUUCAUCCUAUUCUGGGCUACCUGGAGUCGAUCCCUCAGCUCUCGAGUCAAUUGUUCUCUGUCCGUUCUCCACCCCUUAAACUCCUGAGAAGUAGCCAUAUCCAAGGAGAUCACCAGAUGAUUUGGGGGUGGUUUACCGUAUAGCGCCUCAUAAGGGGUCAUACCGAUGGAAGAGUGAAAGCUAGUAUUAUACCACCAUUCUGCUAAGGCUAACCAGGCGUGCCAUUUUUUUGGAUGCUGAAAGCACAUGCACCUCAAAUACGUUUCUAAGCACCUGUUAACUCUUUCAGUUUGGCCGUCGGUUUCCGGAUGAUAAGCUGAGCUCAUGUGUAGCUUCGUUCCCAUUGACUGAAACAGUUCUUUCCAAAAUUGGCUCACAAAAAUUUUGUCCCUGUCAGAAAUUAUUCUCUUCGGGCAUCCAUGAAGCCUAUAAACCGUCCCCAUAAAAGCCUUGGCUACGUCUGAAGCGGAGAAGGGAUGUUUCAAGGCUAUGAAGUGCGCGUAUUUAGUGAGUCGAUCAACCACUACCAUUAUCGUAUCUUUACCCUCUGAUUUAGGUAACGACUCUAUGAAAUCCAUGCUUACAUCUUCCCAAACCUGAUGAGGAAUAGGCAGUGGUUGUAAUAAGCCAGCGUAAGGAGUCCCGUCCACCUUGUUUUGAGCGCAGACCGUGCAAUUCUUAACCCAGUCCUCCGUUUCUUUUUUUAACCCGAUCCAAAAAAAAUGUUGUUUAACCCUCCGGUAAGUAUUUUGUAUUCCAGAGUGGCCCCCCAAGGCUGAGUUAUGCAUUUGAUCCAAAAUUCGUUUUCUUAAAGGCCCAGCCUCUCCAAUGUACAACUUACCUUUGUAGCGCAACAAUGAAUUGCCAUAUGAGUAUUGACCCUGAGGGGCGGUCUGCAGGAUUAACUCGCUUAUUACUUUCUCACAAUAACUAUCCCCUCGAUAACUCUCCAGCACCUCUUGUACCCAGUCGGGAAUUGCUGCGGUGAUGGCCAAAGAAACCCCUUCUGUUUCCACUCUCCUGGACAGUGCAUCAGCCGCGACAUUCUCUCUCCCUUUCUUAUAUUGUAUGGAAUAAUUAAGCCCCAUCAACUUUAACAUCCCCUUUUGUUGCAUUGGCGUCGAUAUCCUUUGCUCCAACAAGUGUUUCAAGCUCUCAUGAUCUGUUUUUAUCACAAAAGGGUUGGCAUUUAAGUAAUGUUUCCACUUUUGCACAGCCAUGAGUAUUGCCAAAAAUUCCUUUUCGUACGUUGAUAACCCAAGAUGCUUUCCGCCAAUUGCUUUGCUCAAAUAUGCUAUCGGUCUCCCUUCUUGUGACAUUAUGGCCCCUAUCCCUGUACCGCAAGCAUCAACUUCUAUAGUGAAAGGUUUACCAAAAUCCGGCAUGGCUAAUACUGGAGCUCUAGUCAUCGCCGUCUUCAACUCUUCAAACGCUGAUUGGGUUUCCUUGUUCCAAUGGAACUGAUCCUUCUUAAGUAGCUCGGUCAAUGGUUUGCUAAUCCUUCCGUACCCUCUGAUGAACUUCCUAUAGUACCCGGUGAGACCCAAGAACCCCCGGAGUUCCUUAACGGAUCUGGGUAUCGGCCAUCUUGUCAUAGCUUCGAUCUUCGAUGGAUCCGUGGCUACCCCUGCGGCAGAGAUAAUGUGGCCAAGGUACUCUACUUUGUUCUGCCCAAAGUAACAUUUGCUUCUCUUGGCAUAGAACCUGUGCUUCCUCAAUUCUUCUAGUGUGAUGCACAAAUGCUUCGUAUGCUCCUCCAACCCUUUGCUAUAGAUUAGUAUGUCAUCAAAAAAUACCAAAAUAAACUUUCGUAGGUAGGGUUCAAACGUACAAUUCAUAAUGGCUUGGAAUGUUGCCGGAGCGUUGGUAAGGCCAAAGGGCAUAACCCGAAAUUCAUAGUGUCCCUGGUGCGUUCGGAAUGCUGUCUUAGGAAUAUCCGACGGUUCCAUCCUAAUCUGGUGAUAGCCGGACCGUAGAUCUAUCUUCGAAAAAUGUGUUGCGCCUCCCAAUUCAUCCAACAGAUCGUCGAUGAUAGGAAUGGGGAAUUUAUCCUUAACAGUGGAUUUGUUCAGUUGCCGGUAAUCAAUGCACAUCCUCCAACUCCCGUCUUUCUUUUUAACCAGUAAAGCAGGUGAGGCGAACGGACUGUUACUCCUCUGUAUUAUCGAGCUACCCAAUAAUUCUCUUAUCUGCUUCUCAAGCUCCUCCUUUUGCUCAUGUGAAUAUCUAUACGGCCUUACGUUAAUUGGAGCGGUGCCCGGCUGCAGCAAGAUUCUGUGGUCCUGGACGCGGGAUGGUGGUAUUCCUUUCGGUUCUUCGAAAACAUCCGAGUAAUGCUCCAACACCUGCUGAAUGCAAGGAGGGAUUUCUGCCUCAGCUUCGGUUUUGUUGGACACCGUUUGAUGGCUUAUCAAAUAACACUCCCCGGUACUCAUUUCUUGAUUCCAUUGGGCUGCAGUAAUCAAUUUCAGUUUAGCUCCCUCUUCAAUCCCCUUCAAUUCCAACUUCUGGCCUUCCUUCAUUAUAGUCACAGAGUUUACCAAAAAAUCGAAGGUCACCCUCCCGUAGGAUUUAAGCCAGUCGAUGCCUAACACUACACUGACCCCUUCGAUUCGAAUUACCCUUAAGUCUGCUACAAACCUCUGCCCUUGCAUUACCCAUGAGAAUUCGGGACAUUUGAGCUUGCUUAACAUUUUGUGUCCGUCAGCUAUGGUUACCACCAAAGGUGAAGUUGCUUCCAUUCUCGCUCCGACUUCCUUAGCUACCCUUAAGUCGAUGAAACUAUGCGUGCUUCCGGUAUCGAUUAGAAGGGUGAGUGUUCUACCUUUUGCUUCGCCCCGUAUUUUUAUGGUGUCUUGAGGCUUCUCUCCAUUCAGCACAUGAACCGAAACUCCGAUUUCUUGCGCCUCUCCGCCAUCAGGUAUAGUCCCCGGCUCUUGCUCCCCUUCUCCUGUGACUCCGUUACUCAUUUCUUCUUGCAAACAAUCUUCGUCGUAAACUUCGAUAAUUUCCUCGGUUGCCUGUAAAGUGUUCAAUGAUUUAUUUGUGCACACAUGCCCCGGAUGGUACCUUUCUCCACAUCUGAAGCAUAGCCCUGCUGCCCAACUUUGCUCAAUGAGCUGUUUGUCGACUGGGUACUGAUUUGCAUGAUUCCUGGAUGAUGUUUGGUACGGAGAUUUUGAAUUCUCACUAACCUUAGUAACUCCGAUCCCUCGGUUGCCUCUGUAUGACGAGCCUGAUUGGUACGGACCUCCAGAUCCCUUAGGUACAUACUUGUUUCUUCUAGUAAGUGCGGCUAUGGCUUUUUCAUGCAAUUGCGCUUGUUCAUAAGUCUCUUCCAAUGUAUUCGGAUGGGCGAUGUCUAAGAAGUGAACCAGCUCAUCUUUGAGACCGUUAAUGUAGCAUGCAAUGAAGUACUCUUCGGUCAAAUGCGGAUUAUAGUAAAGUAGUUGGAACCUCAACUCCUCGAAUUUUUCCUGGUAUGCCUCACAUGUUCCUGUUUGCUUCAAGUUACUGAAUUCACGGAUCAGAUAUCUCUCCCCUGUUGGCGCAAACCUCCGACAUAUCGCUUCAAAAAUUCAUCCCAAGAUACCAUCUGUUUAUUGAUGAAGUACCCCUGCUUCCAUGUCUUCGCCUUACCGUUUAAAUGCAUCGUCGCCACACUCAGCCAUUGAUGUUGAGGUAUCUGGUAUAGCUCAAAGUAUUGUUCGCAGUUUUCGAUCCAAUUCCUGGGAUCUUCUCCAUCAAAUGACGGAAAAUCCAAACGAGGGUAGGGCAAGUGAUGAUGGUUGAAAUUUCGAUUACCCCACGGUGAAAUGUGUUCUUCUUCCGUCUCAGGCGGUUUGCUUGGAGUCGGUAAAAUUCCCUUGCCUUUCCCUUCUCUGAUUGUUAAUGGUGUGCUACUACUUCCAGGUUUGAACUUGCGGUCGGAAAAAGGCGCUUCACCUUGAUUCUUGAGGGCAGGCGGCUGAGCGGUUAUAAGCUUCAGCAUCUCCUCAUGCCUCCUGUUGGCUUCGGCUUGCAGUGACUCAAACUGCUUCUGCCCGGUGUCCCUCACUUCGGCUAUUUGUUGGGUGAGUGCUUCUACAUUGGCCCGAUGCUCAAUUCCCAGUCUCUGAUAAUUCUCUUCCAAAGAAUGGAUAUGAUCGCUAAUAUCUCGCAACCGUGUUCCUUCGGCCAUUUCUAUUUCUUCCAAGUAUUCUUUCGGAUUAAAUUUAAAUUUGUUGCCUCGCUUGCCCCCAAUCUUGUUGCGAUGAUGAAACCCCCCGUCUCGGUGGGUGCUCUGAAUGAAAACUUGGGUGCCUUGUGAUUAAGCGAUCUGAGGAGUGGGGGUCUCUUCCUCGGAUCAACGGAUAAUCUCAGGUUAUUUGUGGUGAUUUCUUUUGUCCAACUCUGAUCUCAAUGCAGAAUCGGCAGCGCAGAAAUCUGAUUCGCGAUUAAACUCAACAAUGUUGAGAUUGGAGUUAGAAAGCGAUUUUACCACAUAGGACUGGGAUCGUACCGCUCUGAUACCAAUUGUUACGUACCUGACUCGGCGCAACCCGUCGAUGACGAUAUAUCGCUGAGAUGAAGGACGGCGUCGAGGAUGAUGUUGCACGUAACAGCUUGCCUCGGAAAUAAUCGGAUUAGGAUUGGAGUACUCGGAUAAAAUAGAUGAGAAGAAUAGAACGAGAGAAUAGAGGAGAUAAGAAGAGGUAGGAUUAAGAAGAGGGAUUAAGAGAAUAGGAGAUGAUAAGAAGGAAGAAAUUUCAUUAAUUUUUGCCUAAAAAAAACAUCCUUGUUACACCCUGCUCUCUUUAUUCAUAAUACUAAACAAACCCUAAGUCUAAGUGGACUUCCCAAGCCACCUAACCGCUCCUUACGCCCGAAUCCGCUAGAUGCCCGACCCGCCAGAGCCGCCUAGAACCCGAUCGCCUCCUUAAUACGCACCUUGUCGGAUCGCCACCUCCUCUGUCCCUCUUCUAAACUUCGUCUCCUCAUACCUGCGCCUUCCAUACUGCCACCGACUCCCUCGCCCUCCUCAUCGACGGCCGAUGCUUCCCCACCUGAGGCUUGAGACAAAGAAGAAAGCUAAGCUCCUCUCUCCUUCUUUUUAUUACACUAAUUCCUUCUACUGCUGCUACUAAUCCCCUUUCUCCUACUUAACAG
rnacentral:lncRNA from 1 species